CGCCCAUCAAAUCAGCAGUUCUUGGACACCGCAUCCAUGGAUGGGAAAAGAGGCCUUGAACCUGUCCUCGCUGGUGAGCUUGAAGGAGUGUGUUCUGAGAAACUCUGAGGUCUAUGCAGUCUGAGUCAAGGCGUCAGGCAUCAGUUUUGCAGAAAUGUGCUUCUGGGAGUCAAGGAGCUCAACCCUGACCUUCCACUGGGAAGUGAGGAUGUAAUGUUACUUACAACAUUUGAUAUGAACUGAAGAUUACUGAGCUCAUCACCAUUACUGUAGCAUCCAGCUUUGUGGAUGGAGCAGCUCCUGGACUCUGAGCAUCUGCAGCAUGCUAUCAGUCACUGGGGACUACCUAGGACUAGUAGUCAUAAGCUAUUCCAGUAAAUGUGCUCUGAUAAAAUAUCUGAUUGUUUCUUUAAUUCCCAAAGUCUUUUGGGAAGACUUUAAUUCCCAAAGUCUUCAGUGUUUCAAUCUCCUUGCUGAA